GAUGAACGCUGGCGGCGUGCCUAAUACAUGCCAGUCGAGCGAACAGACGAGGAGCUUGCUCCUCUGACGUUAGCGGCGGACGGGUGAGUAACACGUGGAUAACCUACCUAUAAGACUGGGAUAACUUCGGGAAACCGGAGCUAAUACCGGAUAAUAUAUUGAACCGCAUGGUUCAAUAGUGAAAGACGGUUUUGCUGUAACUUAUAGAUGGAUCCGCGCCGCAUUAGCUAGUUGGUAAGGUAACGGCUUACCAAGGCAACGAUGCGUAGCCGACCUGAGAGGGUGAUCGGCCACACUGGAACUGAGACACGGUCCAGACUCCUACGGGAGGCAGCAGUAGGGAAUCUUCCGCAAUGGGCGAAAGCCUGACGGAGCAACGCCGCGUGAGUGAUGAAGGUCUUCGGAUCGUAAAACUCUGUUAUUAGGGAAGAACAAAUGUGUAAGUAACUAUGCACGUCUUGACGGUACCUAAUCAGAAAGCCACGGCUAACUACGUG
rnacentral:rRNA from 1 species